UAUGCGUGUGCCAUUAAUUGAGUAGUUGGGGUUAUAAUUCUCUGUUAGGAUGAGCAGCAAUGAGACUAAUGCCAGUGGUUUUCAGAUGAGCUUGCUGGUUUUAAGAGUCAUGGAAGAUGGUGUUGUAUUUUUUCAACUCCAAAAUUAUUUUAUCCUGCACAGUCUGGACAUUCCAAAUUAUUUUUUGCUGGCUACUGGUUACUCUGAUGCUGCUUUUUUAUUUUGCAUUUAAAUUUUCCUGUUGUAGAUUGUGUGAGACUAUCAACCAUUCCUCACAGUGAUUGGUACCUAAAAGCUUUGAGAAUUGUGAUGGAUACUGCUGAGAAUGUGCCAUGUGUGUGCGAGAGACCUAGGGCAUUCCUCAGGUGGGCCUGCCCUGUAUGUGCCAAAGCCCAAAUUUCGGGUAUGUAUGGUCAUCAGAUGGGCCAUGUGUACAAAGAAAGGAUGGUUAGGAGAAUUGAUCAGUGUCCACAUUCAAUGUACGCGUGGUACAUUUGAUGACUGGAUUGGUCUGAUUUUCAGGUGAUAGAAGAUAUGAUAGGUCCAGCACCUCUUGAGGAAUCACUUGGAUCUGUCACCCAUGGUACAUUUUAGGAAGUUGGAUUGAGAUCCUACUUUCAUGGGUUGCCAUAGGAGCACUUAAAAGCACUGCACUUAAUGGAGACAGUUUCUAAAUAAUUAUGUUUGUUCUAGGGCUGAUGAAUGGAAUGUCAACAAAUGGGCAUGGGAAGGGGCAUUAAAAGUAAUCAGCAAAGGGGAGGAGUGCAUUAUCAAGCUUGAAGAUAAGACCACAGGUUCAAUGAUCUUUUAGUUACAAUUAAGAGGAAAAGAAAUUGAUGCAGUCUUAGACAAUACCAUUAUUUCUAUUAAGCACAUGGAAUGUUUUAAGCAGGAGAGCUUUAUGCUGGAGCAUUUCUAAGAAACAGGGAGCCACAUCCAGUGGAGCCUGUGAUUGACAGCAGCAGGUUUGGGUCCGUUUGUUAUUGGAACUAGGGUUAGUCUAUGAUAUCUCAAUACUCAAUCAGAUGGGAAAAUUACAGUUUCCUUAAUUAUGUGUUUGCCUUAAGUUCAAAUUACUGAUAUUGUAAUAGGGUAUGAUAGUUGAGGAGUAACUUCUAUUUCCUGAUUUGAUAUACAUGAAUGCUAAAUGCACGGUAGGAGAUCUGGAUAGUCUUGACUGAUAUACAUGAAUGCUAAAUGCACCAUUUAAGAAACAGUGGAUAACAUAUGUACAACUAUGCUAUUUUGAAGGAUUACAAAAGUCACAUCCUUUAUUAUUAUUAUUUUUUUAAUGCAAUAGUUGUAAUUUUUUACAUUCACUUGAUUGAAUCUGAAAUGGAUUUUUAUGUUUUAAUUUUAUUAUGAUUUUUAUUUGUUCUUGCAUUAAUGAAUGGAAUGUUGCUUUUCAGAUUCUUUUCAUUGAAUCUGGAUUUAUUUUUAAUUUGUUGAAUUUAUUUAUUUUGGGUUAAAUGAGAGAAUAGCUUGAUUGAUUGGAUGGGAGUGCUCAUUGGGCCAAACAAGUGGGUCAAGAAAACAAUUGCCUUGGAUAAUGUUUACUGAAUUUUCCUCAGCUUUCGUAUAGUAAUUUACAUGAGUUUAACUGCCUACAAACUGGAAUUUUCUUAAAUUUUGAGAUGAGACCAUUUAAUUGAAUUCUUAAACUAACUCUAGCUAGAUGCUAUAUUUAUUCCAUUUAAGAAUUAGCUGCCCAAACAACCCUGCUGCUUGGUGUCUUGAAUGGUGUCCUGGAUAAAGAAUUAAGAUGACUUGGUGUUACUUCAUCUUAGACCAUUAUCUAAUAAUGAUUCAAAUCAUAUGCAGACAUUGAACACAUGAUCCCUCUUCUAUGCAACUUUAAAUGCUCUUGCUUACUUUUACAUGGUAAGCUUGAUCUAUUGAAGUUACCAUUACUGUCAGCUGUCCAUCAUAUUAAAGGUUUUUUGGCAGAUAUUUUUCUUUUUCAGGUUUGCUCUUGGGGAGGUUAUACCUUCAUUAUUAAUCUUAUCCCAAUGCACGUGCUUCUGUGCAUUUUAACUGGUCGCUACUCUUCUCGGCUGUACGCUGCUUAUGCUCCCCUCAUAAGUAUCCAUUCUUUAAAAAAAUGUAUGGCAUUGGGAAGCUUGUAUAACUUUUACUUCUUUCGUGAACCUUGUAGGAUCACUCUGAAUGUCCUGCAACUUACCUCACUGGAGACAUAUAGUCUGUUAUCGAUGAACUAUUUCCUUUUGAUAGGAAGAUUUUCUUUGAUAUUUAUCUUCGUCAAUGCAGGUUGUCUUGGGAACUUUGCUGGCUUCGCUGGUGCCUGUUGUGGGUUUUAAUGCAGUGAUGACUUCAGAGCAUUUUGCAUCAUUUUUGAAAUUUGGCAUUCAAUCAAAUCAGCCAGAACAUCCCUACCUCCUUGGCUUCUAUGAAAUAUCUCUGCUCCCUGUGAGUUUCUUGUUGAAUACGAACUCAAAAAGGUUUUGGUUUAUGAAUAUGGGACAUAUUUUCAUGAAUCACAUUUUAUCUGAAUGCAGGAAUCUUAGCCACAAUUCCCUAUCUGGGCCCAUUGGAAACAUAUUUACAGAUCUACUAAAUCUAAAACAAUUGUAAGAUUUGAAACAAUACUUUUUAUAUGUAGAAAAGUAGAUGAGAAUUUAGAUAUCUAUAUAUAUUUGUUUGGUCUCGA